AGAGCAGAAGAUAACCGUGUUGACAGCGUAGUGUCUCCUGAAGAACAGCCUGAAGGAACCAACAGAGAGAACCUCUUUAACACAAGUUUAAAGCAGCGUUGAACACUCACUUCCUCUGGUUGUCGGUCAGUGUGAUGCCCUGAGCCGACACUUUGAAGUGGACCACGGUGGAGGCGGGUGGCGGGUCCAUGGAGAGCGUCAUCGUGGUCGCCUUCUGCACCGCCUGGUGUCCGGUCAGAGACUCCAGAGCCACAGAGCCCAGCCUCACUGACUGAGCUGACAGAGCGGCCUGCACCUCAUCGUACUGAGCAGCAGGGGGCAGCAGAGGGAACACAUUGUGUCCUGCGACGGUGGUGGCCUCAUGGAUACAAACUGCUCAGUGGACUGACUCACACUAACAGCACUUUAAAUGUAGUUUCCAUGUGUUCUGGCCUCGUGCUGAUGGAGAACAUUACUGUCACCAGAAGAUUCACUGUUUAAGGAUAUUUUCUGCUUUUCUUCCACAACAACAUCAGAGCUGGAUAAUGUUCUUUAUACCCUCCAGUAUUUAUCAGUAUGGCCUUAUUUACAUGUCAAUAACCUCCUCUAAGAUAAGAACCAUAUUACAAAGCUCCAGUUACCUGACAUUGUGCAGGUACGAUUUUAUUAUUUAAAUAACUUUAGCUCCAAAAGGUUGUCCGUGUAGGUUCUCAGACAUCCAGGUCUUGGUACUUGGUUGAAUAUUUUAGAGACAUGUCACCUCUCCUCCUCUCUGAAGAAGCCUUUCAGAAGGAGAGGUGUAACAUCUUAACGAUCUUCAACCAAGUCCAGUUACUUUGGAUCAAACUUAGAAUCUCCUAAAUUUUGUGCAAUGACGCAGUUUGCAUGUAUAACGUCUCGAGCAGCUUUGGCAUUAAAACACUGUUUACACAGAGAACUAAAACAACAAGUUUGAUAUCUUGAUGUCAUUGAGGAAUGUUGAAUCUGUUCAGUCUGUGUCGUUUCCACUUGUUUCGCUAUGUCCCAGAGCUCUCGUUGUGAAUAUUCGCUCUGAAAAGCUGAUAAAAAUCACAUAUAACCAA